GUGGGGAAUUUUGGACAAUGGGCGCAAGCCUGAUCCAGCAAUGCCGCGUGCAGGAAGAAGGCCUUCGGGUUGUAAACUGCUUUUGUACGGAACGAAACGGUCCGGGUUAAUACCCUGGGCUAAUGACGGUACCGUAAGAAUAAGCACCGGCUAACUACGUGCCAGCAGCCGCGGUAAUACGUAGGGUGCAAGCGUUAAUCGGAAUUACUGGGCGUAAAGCGUGCGCAGGCGGUUUUGUAAGACAGGCGUGAAAUCCCCGGGCUCAACCUGGGAAUUGCGAUUGUGACUGCAAGGCUGGAGUGCGGCAGAGGGGGAUGGAAUUCCGCGUGUAGCAGUGAAAUGCGUAGAUAUGCGGAGGAACACCGAUGGCGAAGGCAAUCCCCUGGGCCUGCACUGACGCUCAUGCACGAAAGCGUGGGGAGCAAACAGGAUUAGAAACCCUGGUAGUCC
rnacentral:rRNA from 1 species